rnacentral:tRNA from 1 species
GGCAGGGUAGCUCAGCUGGCUAGAGCACGCGACUCAUAAUCGCGGGGUCGAGAGUUCGAGUCUCUCUCCUGCUA